UACGUAGGGUGCAAGCGUUAAUCGGAAUUACUGGGCGUAAAGCGUGCGCAGGCGGUUGUGCAAGACCGAUGUGAAAUCCCCGGGCUUAACCUCGGGAAUGGCAUUGGUGACUGCACGGCUAGAGUGUGUCAGAGGGGGGUAGAAGUUCCACGUGUAGCAGUGAAAUGCGUAGAGAUGUGGAGGAAUACCGAGUGGCGAAGGCAGCCCCCUGGGAUAACACUGACGCUCAUGCACGAAAGCGUGGGGAGCAAACAGG
rnacentral:rRNA from 1 species